GGCCUUUUGAAUUUAAUUUAAGGUCUGACCUGCCCAAUGAGGAUUAAAUGGCCGCGGUAUUUUGACCGUGCUAAGGUAGCAUAAUCAUUAGUUUCUUAAUUAGAAACUGGAAUGAAAGGUUUAAUGAGAAAAUAGCUGUCUCUUGAAUUUUAAUAGAAUUUUAUUUUUAAGUAAAAAAGCUUAAAUUUUAUUGUAAGACGAGAAGACCCUGUAGAGUUUAAUAAAUCAAUUUUGUUAAUUAUUUUUGUGAUUUAAGUCGAUAAAUGAAGUUAUUUAUUUAGUUGGGGUGAUUGAGAAAUUUAAUUAACUUUUUUUUAUCUUUACAUUAAUUAAUGAUUUUUUGAUCCAAUUUUUUUGAUUAUAAGAUAAAAUUACCUCAGGGAUAACAGCGUAAUCUUUUUUUAGAGUUCUAAUCGAUAAAAGGGGUUGCGACCUCGAUGUUGGAUUAAAAUUUACUUUUGGUGCAGAAGCUUAAAGGUUAGGUCUGUUCGACCUUUAAAAUUUUACA
rnacentral:rRNA from 1 species